rnacentral:rRNA from 1 species
GACGAACGCUGGCGGCGUGCUUAACACAUGCAAGUCGAGCGGUAAGGCCCUUUCGGGGGUACACGAGCGGCGAACGGGUGAGUAACACGUGGGUGACCUGCCCUUAGCUCUGGGAUAAGCCUGGGAAACUGGGUCUAAUACCGGAUAUGACUCCAUGACGCAUGUUGUGGGGUGGAAAGCCUUGUGCGGCUAGGGGAUGGGGCCCGCGGCCUAUCAGCUUGUUGGGUGGGGUGANGGCCUACCAAGGCGACGACGGGUAGCCGGCCUGAGAGGGCGACCGGCCACACUGGGACUGAGACACGGCCCAGACUCCUACGGGAGGCAGCAGUGGGGAAUCUUGCGCAAUGGGCGAAAGCCUGACGCAGCGACGCCGCGUGGGGAUGACGGCCU